rnacentral:tRNA from 1 species
GGGCCCGUAGCUCAGCUAGGUAGAGCGGCGGGCUUUUAACCCGUAGGUCACGGGUUCGAAUCCCGGCGGGCCCGCCA